UACAGAGGGGGCAAGCGUUGUUCGGAAUUACUGGGCGUAAAGGGCGCGUAGGCGGCCUGCUAAGUCGAACGUGAAAUCCCCGGGCUCAACCCGGGAACUGCGUCCGAUACUGGCAGGCUUGAAUCCGGGAGAGGGAUGUGGAAUUCCAGGUGUAGCGGUGAAAUGCGUAGAUAUCAGGAGGAACACCCGUAGCGAAGGCGGCACUCUGGGCCGAUACUGACACUGAGGAGCGAAAGCGUGGGGAGCGAACAGG
rnacentral:rRNA from 1 species